rnacentral:rRNA from 1 species
GACGAACGCUGGCGGCGUGCUUAACACAUGCAAGUCGAACGGAAAGGCCCUGCUUUUGUGGGGUGCUCGAGUGGCGAACGGGUGAGUAACACGUGAGUAACCUGCCCUUGACUUUGGGAUAACUUCAGGAAACUGGGGCUAAUACCGGAUAGGAGCUCCUGCUGCAUGGUGGGGGUUGGAAAGUUUCGGCGGUUGGGGAUGGACUCGCGGCUUAUCAGCUUGUUGGUGGGGUAGUGGCUUACCAAGGCUUUGACGGGUAGCCGGCCUGAGAGGGUGACCGGCCACAUUGGGACUGAGGUACGGCCCAGACUCCUACGGGAGGCAGCAGUGGGGAAUAUUGCACAAUGGGCGGAAGCCUGAUGCAGCAACGCCGCGUGCGGGAUGACGGCCUUCGGGUUGUAAACCGCUUUCGCCUGUGACGAAGCGUGAGUGACGGUAAUGGGUAAAGAAGCACCGGCUAACUACGUGCCAGCAGCCGCGGUGAUACGUAGGGUGCGAGCGUUGUCCGGAUUUAUUGGGCGUAAAGGGCUCGUAGGUGGUUGAUCGCGUCGGAAGUGUAAUCUUGGGGCUUAACCCUGAGCGUGCUUUCGAUACGGGUUGACUUGAGGAAGGUAGGGGAGAAUGGAAUUCCUGGUGGAGCGGUGGAAUGCGCAGAUAUCAGGAGGAACACCAGUGGCGAAGGCGGUUCUCUGGGCCUUUCCUGACGCUGAGGAGCGAAAGCGUGGGGAGCGAACAGGCUUAGAUACCCUGGUAGUCCACGCUGUAAACGGUGGGUACUAGGUGUGGGGUCCAUUCCACGGGUUCCGUGCCGUAGCUAACGCUUUAAGUACCCCGCCUGGGGAGUACGGCCGCAAGGCUAAAACUCAAAGGAAUUGACGGGGCCCCGCACAAGCGGCGGAGCAUGCGGAUUAAUUCGAUGCAACGCGUAGAACCUUACCUGGGUUUGACAUGGAUCGGGAGUGCUCAGAGAUGGGUGUGCCUCUUUUGGGGUCGGUUCACAGGUGGUGCAUGCCUGUCGUCAGCUCGUGUCGUGAGAUGUUGGGUUAAGUCCCGCAACGAGCGCAACCCUUGUUCACUGUUGCCAGCACGUUAUGGUGGGGACUCAGUGGAGACCGCCGGGGUCAACUCGGAGGAAGGUGGGGAUGACGUCAAGUCCUCAUGCCCCUUAUGUCCAGGGCUUCACGCAUGCUACAAUGGCUGGUACAGAGAGUGGCGAGCCUGUGAGGGUGAGCGAAUCUCGGAAAGCCGGUCUCAGUUCGGAUUGGGGUCUGCAACUCGACCUCAUGAAGUCGGAGUCGCUAGUAAUCGCAGAUCAGCAACGCUGCGGUGAAUACGUUCCCGGGGCUUGUACACACCGCCCGUCAAGUCAUGAAAGUUGGUAACACCCGAAGCCGGAGGCCUAACCGUUGUGGGGGAGCCGUCGAAGG